UACGUAGGGUGCGAGCGUUGUCCGGAAUUAUUGGGCGUAAAGAGCUCGUAGGCGGUGUGUCGCGUCGGCCGUGAAAACCUGCAGCUUAACUGUGGGCUUGCGGUCGAUACGGGCAUCACUGGAGUUCGGCAGGGGAGACUGGAAUUCCUGGUGUAGCGGUGAAAUGCGCAGAUAUCAGGAGGAACACCGGUGGCGAAGGCGGGUCUCUGGGCCGAUACUGACGCUGGAGGGAGCGAAAAGCCGUGGGGAGCGAACAGG
rnacentral:rRNA from 1 species